GAGCGAACGGACGAGAAGCUUGCUUCUCUGAUGUUAGCGGCGGACGGGUGAGUAACACGUGGAUAACCUACCUAUAAGACUGGGAUAACUUCGGGAAACCGGAGCUAAUACCGGAUAAUAUUUUGAACCGCAUGGUUCAAAAGUGAAAGACGGUCUCGCUGUCACUUAUAGAUGGAUCCGCGCUGCAUUAGCUAGUUGGUAAGGUAACGGCUUACCAAGGCAACGAUGCAUAGCCGACCUGAGAGGGUGAUCGGCCACACUGGAACUGAGACACGGUCCAGACUCCUACGGGAGGCAGCAGUAGGGAAUCUUCCGCAAUGGGCGAAAGCCUGACGGAGCAACGCCGCGUGAGUGAUGAAGGUCUUCGGAUCGUAAAACUCUGUUAUUAGGGAAGAACAUAUGUGUAAGUAACUGUGCACAUCUUGACGGUACCUAAUCAGAAAGCCACGGCUAACUACGUGCCAGCAGCCGCGGUAAUACGUAGGUGGCAAGCGUUAUCCGGAAUUAUUGGGCGUAAAGCGCGCGUAGGCGGUUUUUUAAGUCUGAUGUGAAAGCCCACGGCUCAACCGUGGAGGGUCAUUGGAAACUGGAAAACUUGAGUGCAGAAGAGGAAAGUGGAAUUCCAUGUGUAGCGGUGAAAUGCGCAGAGAUAUGGAGGAACACCAGUGGCGAAGGCGACUUUCUGGUCUGUAACUGACGCUGAUGUGCGAAAGCGUGGGGAUCA
rnacentral:rRNA from 1 species